rnacentral:lncRNA from 1 species
GUUUUCUCUGUUUUGUCAUUUCCUUGAUUAGGCUAAAGUGAACAACUCCAGCCUGAUAGGUUUAGGAUACACUCAGACUCUAAAGCCAGGUAUUAAACUGACACUGUCAGCUCUUCUGGAUGGCAAGAACGUCAAUGCUGGUGGCCACAAGCUUGGUCUAGGACUGGAAUUUCAAGCAUAAAUGAAUACUGUACAAUUGUUUAAUUUUAAACUAUUUUGCAGCAUAGCUACCUUCAGAAUUUAGUGUAUCUUUUAAUGUUGUAUGUCUGGGAUGCAAGUAUUGCUAAAUAUGUUAGCCCUCCAGGUUAAAGUUGAUUCAGCUUUAAGAUGUUACCCUUCCAGAGGUACAGAAGAAACCUAUUUCCAAAAAAGGUCCUUUCAGUGGUAGACUGGGGGAGAACUUGGUGGCCCCUUUGAGAUGCCAGGUUUCUUUUUUAUCUAGAAAUGGCUGCAAGUGGAAGCGGAUAAUAUGUAGGCACUUUGUAAAUUCAUAUUGAGUAAAUGAAUGAAAUUGUGAUUUCCUGAGAAUCAAACCUUGGUUUCCUAACCCUAAUUGAUGAGAGGCUCGCUGCUUGAUGGUGUGUACAAACUCACCUGAAUGGGACUUUUUUAGACAGAUCUUCAUGACCUGUUCCCACCCCAGUUCAUCAUCAUCUCUUUUACACCAAAAGGUCUGCAGGGUGUGGUAACUGUUUCUUUUGUGCCAUUUUGGGGUGGAGAAGGUGGAUGUGAUGAAGCCAAUAAUUCAGGACUUAUUCCUUCUUGUGUUGUGUUUUUUUUUUUGCCCUUGCACCAGAGUAUGAAAUAGCUUCCAGGAGCUCCAGCUAUAAGCUUGGAAGUGUCUGUGUGAUUGUAAUCACAUGGUGACAACACUCAGAAUCUAAAUUGGACUUCUGUUGUAUUCUCACCACUCAAUUUGUUUUUUAGCAGUUUAAUGGGUACAUUUUAGAGUCUUCCAUUUUGUUGGAAUUAGAUCCUCCCCUUCAAAUGCUGUAAUUAACAACACUUAAAAAAACUUGAAUAAAAUAUUGAAACCUCAU